UACGUAGGGUGCGAGCGUUGUCCGGAAUUAUUGGGCGUAAAGAGCUCGUAGGCGGUUUGUUGCGUCGGCCGUGAAAACCUGCAGCUUAACUGUGGGCCUGCGGUCGAUACGGGCAGACUUGAGUUCGGUAGGGGAGACUGGAAUUUCUGGUGUAGCGGUGAAAUGCGCAGAUAUCAGGAGGAACACCGGUGGCGAAGGCGGGUCUCUGGGCCGAUACUGACGCUGAGGAGCGAAAGCGUGGGGAGCGAACAGG
rnacentral:rRNA from 1 species